rnacentral:tRNA from 1 species
AACCCUAUAACUCAGUUGGUAGAGUAGCACACCUUUAAUGUGCGAGUCGCAGGUUCGAGCCCUGCUGGGGUUA